rnacentral:rRNA from 1 species
AUUGAACGCUGGCGGCGUGCCUAACACAUGCAAGUCGAGCGGUAACAGGUGUAGCAAUACAUGCUGACGAGCGGCGAACGGGUGAGUAAUGCUUCGGAAUCUACCCAAUGGUGGGGAAUAACCAGCCGAAAGGUUGGCUAAUACCGCAUACGUCCCACGGGAGAAAGCAGGGGAUCGCAAGACCUUGCGCCAAUGGAUGAGCCGAAGUCGGAUUAGCUAGUUGGAGGGUAACGGCCUACCAAGGCGACGAUCCGUAGCUGGUCUGAGAGGACGACCAGCCACACUGGGACUGAGACACGGCCCAGACUCCUACGGGAGCAGCAGUGGGGAAUAUUGGACAAUGGGGGAAACCCUGAUCAGCGACGCCGCGUGUGUGAAGAAGGCCU